AAACUUUUCAGGGUCAAGCCCCCCCUUUAACCCUGUCUGCCAUUCCCAAGCUGGGGCCAGGAGUGGGGCCACAGCUCCUGGGGAAGGGGGAGAGACACAGACAGGGGUAAGGUGGCCAAGACUGGGGCCACGGCUCAAGGCAGGUCUGGGGCCAGGAGCAGGGCCGUGGCCAGGGGCCAAGGCUGGAGCUGUGGCUGGGGGCGGGGGUGGGGCCGGGGACAGAGCUGUGGCCAGGCUGCCGUUGGGGGACAAAGUUGGGAGCAGGGCUGGGCUGGGAGCUGAGGACACAGCGGGGAGCAGGGCCAGAGCAGAGCUGGGCACAAACUGGGGCUCGGUGGCACUCCUUCCCUGCCUCCUGUAGGUGCUGGCCCGGGCCCCACCACGUUCCUCCGAACAUUCCCCACAGUUUGGGAACCUCUGUUUUACAAGACCUGAGCAACUCUCCUAAUGAUGACAUAAUGAAGCCAUCACUAUUGCAAUCUCCAAAAAACUGGGAAUCCACUCUGAAACCCUUAACAACAUCAUAAAGCAAAGGAAGAACUCAACCAAAGAAUCAGGACCAUCCAACACAAAGAUACAUCAAGCCCAUGGACAAAAGAGAAGAAUCUGAUUAAAAAAAAAAAAGACAAAAAAAUCGAGAAACACAGCUCCAGCUCCUCAGUGGUCCACACUACUCCAAGUGCUGAGAAAGCUAAAAAGAAUGAAAAUGCAAAGAUUCAAAAAACAAGUUCAUGGAUGACACUAAGCUGCGGGGAGAGGUAGAUAAGCU